CCUAACUCAGAAAUCCGCCAGCCUCUGCCUCCCUAGUGCUGGGAUUAAAGGCGUGUGCCACCACAGCCCGGCUUUAUUUUUAAAUUUUGUGUAUGUGUCUCUAUAUGAGUUUAUAUGCACCAAACAAGUACAGUUACCACUGGAGAUCCCCCAGAACUGGAGUUACAGGCCGUUGUGGGUACUGGGAACCAAAUCUGGCUCAGCAAGUGCUUUUAAUUGCUGAACCAUCUCUUCCAGCCUAAGUCAGGUAUAAUGAUGUAGCUCUGGCUGGCCUGGAAUUCAGAGAUCUGCCUUCCUCUGUCUCCUGAGUGUGGGCACCAAAGAAGUGUGCCACCACACUGAGCUUUAUCCUUCCUUGACACAUUCAUCACGUGAUAAGGUACUCUUGCUAGUAAUGUCCUCUAUAGCACACAAUUAACCCUGGAGCAUGAUUUUUCAAUACUAGAACCUCAAUAUAUAUAUAUAUUUAUGUAUAUAUAUAUAUAUAUACACACAUACAUAUAUAUAUAUCAACAUAUCAGUAUAUCUAGAGAUAACAAAGCCCCAGGAAUGAAAAGAUAUUAGCCUUAUAUUCCUGAUGAAUUCUUCAAAUUAUAAAUAUGGAAUCUUAUAAAGAGUAGACAGAAUGAGAAAUAAAGAAGCAGGAGUUGGUGUGGAAAGCAAGAUUAGAAAAUAUAGAAUGACAUCGACAGUUUGCUGUGUGUGGGUGUUUGUCCUGUGUUUAAAAAGAGAGUGAGUAGUUCUUGGAAUUAUUUUCGGCACAGCUGAUUUUUAACAUUUCCUUUCAUAACAUUCAGAAAUCAUUAACAAUUUUUGCAUAUUUGGUAUGGGUUUUUGUUUUCUUUUUUUUUUUCUUUUAACUUUUGUUGCUUUCUUUAACAUUGGUCAUGUUUCAUCCACCCCUCCCUUUUUUUUUCAUUCCCCUGUCUGCAAUCAACUUCUUCAUUCCACUAAGGCUGGGCACAGAUUGGUGUUGGUAUUAGGAGAUCUGCAUAUUCCACACCGGUGCAACAGCCUGCCAGCCAAAUUUAAAAAACUCCUGGUGCCAGGAAAAAUCCAGCACAUUCUCUGCACUGGAAACCUUUGCACCAAGGAGAGCUAUGACUAUCUCAAGACUCUGGCUGGUGAUGUCCACAUUGUGA